CCUGGCUACCUUUUCCAUUGCACCUCCUGCCACUUCUGCUUUAACUUUAUGGUUAGAGACAGUAAACUGUGAGAUUCCCAGCUCAGCCAUUUCCCAGCACCCACCCCAACAUACACCUAGAUGAAAUGGGCCAAUUCCUUAAAGGAUGCAAUCUGACAAAACUCACAAGAAGUCCAGUUGCUGUUCAUUGCUACACAUUGCUGCUUCUUUGAUAUUUCCUUAGUUGUGGAAUACUUCAGCCCAUCCCUUGGUGAACUCUUCUUCUCCACUGUAAGUCACCUCUUCCAACAAACUAGGGCUGAGUCUCCCUCUUCUAAAAAUACUACUAUCAUUGCAUUUAUCAUGCUAUGUUUUAAGGGUGUGCUUCUUCUGUGUCUUCAGCCCUACCAGAGCAUAAGCUUCUUGAGAGCAGGAAUUUUGGUUCCUUUGAGUCCCCAACACCUAGUAAGGCACCUGGCCCUCAGUAGAUAUACAAUAAAUGUUUCUUACAUGAAUUACUAUGUACUGGCACUGAGCUAAGCACCUUACGAAGUGGAUUACUCCUAACCCUUUCAAUGAGAUGGAAAAGUAGCUACCAGUCUGCCCAUUUAAUAGAUGAGGAAACCAAGGCUCCCAGAGAUUAAGGUGUUUGCCGUAGGUUGACAUGGUUAUUCCUGGAUUCCAGAUCUUCUGACUCUAAAGCCCAUAUUCACAUUGCUGCACCACAGAGAGUCCCUGGAAAGGGGUGCCUUCUGGGGCCACUUUGGGUGUUUGGAGGUAAAGCUAAUGUCAUCACACAUGCCUAAUGCAUGGAUGUGCUUACGGAAAGUAUUAGGGAAUCAUUGCUGGCUGCUUCCCAAAGCCUUAAAACCUGGGCCGGGCAUGGUGGCUUACUCCUAUAAUCCCAGUACUUUGGGAGGCUGAGGUGGGUGGAUCACUUGAGGUCAGGAGAUCCAGACCAGCCUGGCCAACGUGGUGAAACCCCAUCUCCACUAAAAAUACAAAAAUUAGCUGGGUGUGGUGGUGCACGCCUGUAAUCCCAGCUACUCAGCAGGCCUGUAAUCCCAGCUACUCAGGAGAAUUGUGUGAACCCAGGAGAUGGAGGCAGCAGUGAGCCGAGAUUGCGCCACUGCACUCCGGCCUGGACAACAAAGCGAGACUCUGACUCAAAAAAACAAAAAACAAAAAACAAAACAACAAAAAAAACAAAACAAAACCCUGGCUCUGCCCACCUCUCCCACAGGCCUUAUGGCAGCCAAACCGAAGGUUCUGUCUCAGCACACUCCUCCUCAAAGUGUCUGCAGUGCUGUCUUUUUCUCUCUGUUCCCUCAAGCUGCCUUAUUUUGCUUUGGAUCUCUGGCUUCUCUUCCUCCUAAUUCCUAAAUAUAGACGCUCUGCCUGCUUCCUC
rnacentral:lncRNA from 1 species